CGUUGCUCGUUGUUGGCAUCUUAAACGCCUACAAAGAGCGGCUGCGAUAUAUUUAUAUUGUAAUAUUGACAUUGAGUAGCGUUUCCGUCACUUUUCAUUGCAUCAUUGACGUUUAAACUCCGAAACUAGAAGUACACUCACUGUAUGUGUGUAUGUUGUUACUGUAUGUUUACUUUAUCAGUUGUAAUGUAGGAUAACGAGACGCGUUGAGGUGAAGUAUUCUAAAAAGUAUUUUUUUCUUUCUCUAGUUGAAGCCUCUUUUUAAUCAUGCCGGGAACAAAAAUUGCGGAUGAAGAUCGGAAGAAAAUCGAUAAGAAGUUCAUCUGUACCAGUUGUAACAUGUUGUUGUGCACUCCCAUGCAAACUCAAUGUGGACACUUGAUGUGUUAUGCUUGUCUGCAAACAUUGCUAGAG
rnacentral:lncRNA from 1 species